AAUUUCAUCAGGAUUUUAAUUACUUUGACUACCUUGAAACUUCCAAUUCACUCUCUUACAAGUGAUUUAAUUUACAUGGCCACUGGCCUGGCUGUGGGUCAGGGAGCGUUAAGUGGAAGAGUCCCAGUCCACUCCUCUAAAAGAAAGACUUUUAUUACGCGUGGUAUGUUAAUUACAAAAAUGAUACAUUUUAAGAAAAGCAGAGAGCAAAAGCAUCGCUAACGAUUUCCUAUGGAAAUGCCUUAAUAUUUUGAUUUCUGUCUUGCCAGUUUGUGUUUGUUUUAGUACUGGGCCUGGAACGCCGGCCUUUGCGCUAAGCUACAGCCCCAUCCCUCUUUUUUAUUUCUUAUUUUGAGACCUCACUAAGUGGCUAAGUUACCCAAGGCUGGGCUCGAACUUGCAAUCCUCCUGCCUCAGCCUCCCAGAUGUCUUGUGUUUUUUUUAAAUCAAUGCCAUGUCAUGUAAGGCUUUCCAUCCAGAAAGAUUUUUUUUUCCAGUUGGCUUCCUUAUAUUUGCUGGGUGUUAAUUUUUUUUCAUCAAAAUCCAUUUAUUUGCCUACUUGGUAUAACUCUCCCUAUUUUAAGUGCCAAGUAUAGUAGUUCAUUCCAAACAUUUAUUGAAGCAUCAAAUUGGAAUCAAUGUCUAUUAAACUCCAUGCUUCUGCCAAUUUAUGGGGGAUCAUGAGAAUUAAGAUUUAUUAUUCACCUACUGUGUACCAGCCAGAGAGUAUUGCUAAUCCUUCUGACCACCCUAUGGUGAUGAUGGUGAGGGCAUUAUCAUUAAUAUUUCAAAGACAAGGUUCAGAAAAUUUGAAUACUUCUCCCAGGUCACCUAGCUCAUUGUGGCUGCGCCAGCGUGUAGACGGCCUUGACUGAGACUCAUGCGUGUUCUUGCGCCCUCUGCUGGUGAGGAUGUUUUACAGGAAGGAGCAGUGUCCAGCUAUCCUGCGUUUAUCCCUGAGUCAAUUGUAGUGGAAAUAAAUAAAGCUUUGGAGAGAGGAUCUGGGUUUGAACAGCCAGUCCUUUAACCUCUCUGAGCCCAUUUCUUCUGUGGGUUACUGAGAGGUACAGAUAUGGCUGCAUGUGGAGUGUUUUAUAAACCUUUAAGUAUUUUUAAAAUGACAGUUUUUAUGCCAUUCUAAUCUAUUUAGUUCCCAAAUAAUUCUAAAUUCAUUUAUUUUCUGCUAUUAAUUGGUUGAGCAAGUGUUAUUGAGCAACUUCUACAUGUACAGUGCCAUCUUGCGACAAAGAGAUAAUAAGGUGUGACCCUUAACCCUUGUAUGCUUGCUAGUUAAAAUAGAAAAGAAGCGCAGGACACGUUUAGAGAAGAGUACAGUGCUUGCUCUGAUUACGUGUCAGAUAAGCAGUAUGCUAUCAGAAUGUGGGAAAAGAGCUCUUAAUUUGAAGUGAGCCUGUGGGGCAGGUGUUAGGCAAGAGCCAGGAUUUGAGCUGACCUGGGAGGUAAAGGAAGCCGGGAGAAGGAGGUGCGCUGAAGAGGAAGUUGCUAGUUUUGAUCUUCAGUGUCCCCGGGGCCCAUGUAACAGAGGCUUGCUCCUAGGGAGGCCCUGUUGGGAGGUGGUGGAGCCUCUUGGACAGUGAUGGUGAACCUUUUAGAACUUUCAAUGAUAACAAACAGCCUGUUGCAGCACAUGUGCCAUAGUUUGCCACCACUGCUCCAGGAGGUGGUCCCUGGGUGGAGGAAGUUAGGUCAGUGGGGCUGCCCCUGAAGGAAUCUUUGGGACCCCAGUCCUCUCCUUUCUUUGUGCUUUCCGGGUCAUGAGGUAAGUGGUUUUGCUGUACCUCAGGCUCCUACUCACAUGUGUCAGACUCCACACUGUGGGCUCGUUGCCACAAGCUCAAAAGCAACGGGACCAAUUGAUCAUGGACCGACACCUCCAAAACCAUGAGCCUAAAUAAACCCUUUCUCUUUAUAAGCUGAUUAUCCCAGGAAUUUGUUACAAGGACAGAAAACUGAUUAACGCAUAUUGCACCGACACCUUUAUGCAUUGCAGGCACAGAGGACUAACACCUGAAAUGUAAUUCCUCUUGGUCUGCAAAGGCACCCCACUCCCACCUUCUUUUUUAAUUUUUAUUUUUAUUAGUACCUGUUUGCAGUACGUAAUGAUCCCAUUCCUUGUGUGGAGUUGAUACAUGCACAUAACACAUCUCAAUUCGGUUUUCAACCCUUUUCCCUCUCCUCUCUCCCCCCUCCCUCCAUCCCUUGAUCUGCUUCCCUUUUGCAAAAAAAUCUAUCUCCCCAUUUCCUAUUAUCUGUCUUUUAUCUUGCUCUUUAAUUUAUUUCGACUUAGGUUUCUCAUAUAAGAGAAGCUAUGUGAUAUUUGAGCUCGUGCAUGUGAUUUCUGUCAAUUAACAUUAUGGUCUCAAGGUGCAUCCGCUCCCCACCUUCACUUUUAUAUUGCUCUUUUCAAGUUCAGUCUGAAAACGUGUUCUAUAUGCAUGACCACAAAAUGCAUGUAUGAUUUAGAUGAACACAUACCAUACUGGGGGUCAAUAAAAAAUAAAAAGAACCAAAAAUAAAAAAUAAAAAGAACCUUCAAGUAGUGACUGGCUCUUUAAAAAGUAAUAAUUUAGUAAAUCAAGAAGCCUGACAAUUAAUUUAAAGAUGUAGUGACCAUCGUGCAUAACAAAAGCUAUAUGAUAUAAUGGAAAUAAGGCUUUAGACCCAGACCCAGGUUAAAAGUAUGUGACCUUAGAAGGUCCCCAACUUGGGCAGACUAUAAGUGUUGUGCCUUGGUGGUCUCAUCUGUAAAGGUAAGUUGAACAAUAUUUUACCAGGGUGAUUUGUGAGGAUUACGGGUAAUAAUAAUUUAUGUAACCUACAACAGAGGGUCUGGCAUUCACUGCGGAGCUAUUAUGAGAAAAUGCAAAAUAUAGAUGGUGUGCAUAGAAAAGGCCAGGAUGUUCAAGGUUCGAGGUUUUUGGAGUUUUCGCUGAUCCUGCCAAGCAGGCAAGACCAGGAGAAACUCUAGCCAUCAGCUCGGGCUCAGACCGGGUUAUUUUACUGUGUGUUUUAUCCGAGUGCGGGCAGACCGGAAACAGUGUGGUGCCCAACAAGCCUGUUGCUGCCACCCUCAGUCUGCUGAGAGCCUCCAAAGCUAGAGGUGGGACUGCCCCAGAGGCGGUCCUUAAUGCCCCGCCUCUUCUCCUGGGGGAACUUGUGGUCGCGUCUGUGGGCCUGGAAGAAAAGGGAAGGGGAAGGGGGAUGGGAAGGGUCACUGUUUCCUCCUUUACAAUCUGGCACAGUCAAUUUGACUUCCUUCUUUGAUUUUCCCAGAACAUCUAGGAUGAGACACAAAUUCAAAUAAUAUUCAAACUGAGGGAAAUGAGCUGCAGAGACAAGCUCAGCGAGUAUAUACAACACCAUCAGGGGGCUCAUACAGUAUGACUUACCUGUAGCCAUCAUCUCUUAUUUCCUAAAUGCCAAUCUCCUGCCAGUUUCUGUGAGUACCAGGGAAACCAGGUUGUGAUCUUAUUCUGGAGCCCUCAAGCUAAAAGCAGAGGGAGUCAUGCUAAUAUGUGCACUAUAAUGCAGUAAGUAUCUGAAAAAGAAAGGAAGAAAGAAAAGCAAAACUCUGCAGGAGCCCGCAGCCCCAGCAUACCUCCUAGCAUAAGGCUAUUUCUACUUGUCCCUCGGGACCACCUAAGCCACCUCUUCUCCCUACCCAGACAAUGCUGAGGAGACGAGGGUGUUUCCUCCAUUUCCUACCAUGGUUCUGCACCCAGCUCUCCUCUCCCUGCCAGAGGAUCUGCCCUUCUUUUGUGACUCCCAACAACAACCCUUGACACCAUCCAGCAAGAGCUGAAACAGGGCCCUUUGGUCUCCAGGCCCCUGACACUGCAAGGAGAAGAGAAAGAACAACUUUUAUUAUUUUACUCCAAUUCUUGCCAAAGCUGAUGUGGGGCCUUUGGGCUUUUCUAACUUGCAUGAAAAACUGAAAAACUGGCAAUGGGUGUGUCCCUUGGACUGCACGAACAGUGCCAUAAAAAAAAGUGUUCCUGAUUCAUCAAGGGCAAGAAUAGGUUUUGGUAGCUUGUCAAACCGGGGAGAAGAAGGAACAGUGUUGUCAGUGACCCUUUCUCACCUCCACAGUCUUGCUAGAGGAGACGGAGAUGGAGAUGGAGAUGACGGCCCAGAUGCGUUUAGUCCAGAGUUCUCGGGUUCACCUCCAUUCUCCCUGUGGACAAGGAGGGACGGACGGUGACAUCCGUUCCCAAGCGCUCCAGGAGAGGCUCCUGUACAGUGUGCGGGUCCAGGCUUGGCCGUGUGUCUCUUGGCUUGGCCUCGUGUGGCUGUAGUGUCCAGCACAGAGUGGGUUUCUGGGAGUGGGUGCUUGCCUUUUUUUAGGACAAGCUGUAACAGAGAAACAGUAGGAGCCUGGCUUCAUGGCCCCAAUGGCAGGAAGCCUCCAUUUUCUCUACUCACACAGACACUUCUGACACCAAAUACAUGGGGGAAACAAUACAGCCUCCAACUCUCGGGACAUUGACUGCGAGUCCUGCGGCUCAAUGCAGACACUGCCUGCCUGCGAGGGCUCAGUCCCAUGAGACUGUGCGCCACUUCAGGCCUCAGUUGGGAGCCCCUGGUGACCCACUCUUCUGUUCUUGGCUACAAAGCAGGGCCCACGAGCUUCUCCUUUGGUUCAAUAAUUCGCUGUGAUGGAACCCAGGGAAAGAAAGCUUGUUAUCUUGGCUUGGCCUCUCCGGUGACAGUACCCAUCCUGAAACUAUCCAUCAAGAAUGGCCUCAUUAGAACAAAGGAUGCUCUUAUCACCCAGGAAAUCACAAGGCUUUUAGAAACUAUGUGUCAGGAACUGGGGUCAAAGACCAAAUAUUAGGACAGAACAUACUCCUGGCAUCCGUAUCAGUCAGGAAACUGAGGGUUUUAGGAGCUCUGGGCCAGGAACGAGGGGCAGAGACCAAGGAUGUGUUUCUGAGUGUGUCACACCACUCACACCACCGAUGACCUUGGAGGAUCCCUGGAAUACAACUGGUGGGAAAAAUACAUUUCAAAUACUUCCAAAGGAUGAUCGUUCACUCCCAGAGCUAACUGCAGAAUUUAAACAACACCGGCACAAGAAAACCAGUGGAUUUUCUUUCUUGUGUUACCUCUGUACUUAAGUUGUAGCAAACCCUUGGUUUUAUUUUCUUUGAAAUUAUACAGGGACGCAGGAACAAGCAGCUUACAGACAAUAAAGAAACCACUUCAUGUGUAAUUACAGCUCACAAACACACAACUUCCAGAUGGCUGGAGUGCACAGCAGGACUGAAGGCUGCCAGGUGCACCGACAGGCAUGUGGGUCCAGCCCCAAAGCAUCCUUGGGUGGUGUUCGUGCUCCUUCCAGUCAUUCGCAGCAGAGUGGGCGGAUGUGGCCAGAUUCCCUCAGAAACACCUCUAUCUUGCCUGCCACAAGGAGUAAGACAGAGCCAGGGUCCAUUUCUACCCCUGCUGUGGUUUAAACAUGGUUUGUUUCUCCUCUCUGAAAUGCAGGUUGGGAUUUAACCCCCACUGUGAGGAAUUAGAGAGUAGAAACCUAAUCUGACCUUGGUCAGAGGUGGGCUUUGGAAGGUGAUUAGGGUUGGGUAAGGUCAUCAUGCAUAAAGAUGCUGGUGGCUUUCUAAGAAGAGGGAGGGAGGGCGAGGAGACACAGCACACGCCCUGUCUCUCAGGGCCCCGUGAUGCCCUGAGCACCCUCGAGACAGGCAGCAAGAAAGCCACCACCGGAGACAGUGACCUUGGAGUAGGAACAUGAGCUAAAAUAAACUUCUUUAUAAUUUACCCAGUCUGUGUCAUUAUGGUUUGUUGGGGUUUUUUUGGUACCAGGGAUUGAACUUGGGACCUUGCGCUUGUGAGGCAGGCAGUGAAACCACUGAGCUAAAUCCCCAGCCCUAUGGCAUUUUGUUAUUAGCAGCAGAAAAGGGACAAAGACAGCCCCUGUUAUCACCGGUUCAGGGUAUCAAGCUCAUUCCUCUACUUCUCCGGGCUUCAGUUUUGUCAUCUGUGAAAUGGAAAUGAUGUUAUCUCCUGAGGAGCAUUAUUAGGAGAAUUCACUGCAGACAUCUAAAAAAAAUGCUUAGAACACGACAUAAUGCACAACAAAUCACUGGCUAAUAUUGCCCUGGCAUGUGCAUAAAGGAUUGAAGAGAGAGUCUGAAGGAAUACAUUUGCUCAUUCGACAUUCAUUGAACUCCUGCUGUACAUUGUACUCUGCUGGGCAAGAAGGGUAGAUUGUCUCUGCUGCUCUGGUCCCUGGGGCAAGAAGUGUGGCCCUGGGCAGAGGGUCACCCUGAUAAUUUACAGAGACUGGGCCCUCUAGGCUUCCAUGUCAAAUGUAUAAUAAAGGAAGGCUUGACGAAGCUUUUGUGAAUGGGCCAGACCUGACAGCUGCCGGGCGGGACCUCCUUCUGCAUGGGAGUAGGCAGUUACUGGAAAAGGAUAUGUGGACCAGAGCCAAACACUAAGACUGCAGGCACUCUCUUGACUUCUCCACAUAGUUUCCCCACUUGCAAAAUGGAGAAGGCUUGCAGGUGAUUACUGCAAUGAUUAAAGAAGGUAAAAAGUGUCAAUAAUACUGACUUCCCUCCAAGCCCCCCAAGGACAGAGCAGAAAACACUAACAGCCAGUGGGAUCUCUCCGUGAAGAUUGAGGCAGGACACUUCCAGGCCUUCUUUUUAGCUGACAAGUGAAUGAGCUGUGGGAAUUUGGCAUGUGAUGAAACUGACUUCUCCAUUCAGUACAGAAACCGUGGAUUCUUCACUCAAAGGUGUUGGGACAACUCGCUGCCAGCGGAGGGAGGGGAAUCCCUAACAGUUUACAUCAAAUGAAACUCCCAAUGGCAAAAAGAUAUAAAUGCAGAGAACAAAACCAUGAAAGCCCUUUGGGAAAGUGCUACAGAAAGAACCUUCACAAAAGAACUCUGCAAAGUUUGUUUUGUUCAACCCUUGAACACCAUGACCUGAAAGAGUGCUCAGGCCAGAGUCAGAGCUUAGUAAACUUCUGAUGGAAUGAAUUAGUGAGAAAAUUUUUUUGGGGGGGGUGUACCGGCGCUUGAACUUGGGUCCUUGCGCUUACGCAGCAGGGCACAAAACCACUGAGCUAAAUCCCCAGCCCAUGAGAGGAUAUUUUUAAUCACUUCAGGUAGAGGAGCAGCCUUUCUAAGGAUGACAUAAAACCAAAAAGAGGCCAAAAUAUAAAAUUCAGCUACAAAAAAAUUACAAAUGACCAUAUGAGGGAGGCAAGCAUACUGGAGGGAAAUAUUUGUAACUCCUAUCACAAACUGCACCUUUCCAUAAUUGUGUGUGUGUGUGUGUGUGUGCUGAGGCUCAAACAGGGCCUCAAGCAUGCCUGGCAGGCACUGUACCAGAGAGCUACAUCACAGCUCCCCUCUCUUUAAUAUUUAAAGAAAUCCUAAAUAUUGAUAAGAAAGAAGCCAACAGCACAGUAUAGAAAUGGGCAAAUGAUAUAAAUAAACAGUUCCCAGAAGAAGAAACACAAAGGACUCCGCAACAUAGAGAGAGAUACUCAACCUCUUUCCUAGUACAGGACAAGCAAAUAAAGACUUAGGAGAAACGACUUGUCACGAAUCAGAUCGGCAGAGGUCCGGAAGUGUGAGAACACACUGCUGUCAAUUGUGCAUUGCCUGAGAGGGGAGGAAACACACUGAGGGCUUGCAGGCUGGACGAUCUCUUCACACAGUGACUGGACAGUACAGUGUACCUUGUGACUCACUUUACCCUGCAGAUAUUCUAGCACGUGUAUGAGGGAGACUAUUCCAGGACUGUAUUUAUUAUACUGUUGUUGGUAAUAGGAAAACACUGGGAGUGAUCGUCAGAAGGCUGGCUCACAGUCAGCACAGCUAUGCAAAUAACACCUGGUACAGCUCUUCCACGAAUGGGGUGACUCACCUGAAUAUGUGGUGGAAAGAUCGCCAAGAUGUGUUACCUGAAAAUAGCAAGCUGCAGAGGGGUGUAUAUUUUAUGCUAUUAACGCUAGCAUGUAUUAUGCUAUUGUUUGCAUUUUAAAAAUCCCUGCAUACAUAGAUGUUUACUUCCUUAUUAUGGGUAGAAUGUCUCUUUCAGGAUUCCUGAGAAAUGGAAAAUAGUGGUUCCCUAACCCAUUGAUGGCAAACCUUUUAGAGGUUUCAAAAAUAACAAACAGCCAGCUGUGGCCCACGUGGCAUAAGUUCGUCACCACUGGGUUACCUCCUAGGAGAGGUGUUGGAGACUAGAUGUGUACAUUUCCAUUCUCAACUCUUUGAUAUACCCUUGAGUUUUGGACCAUGAGUAUUACCCCUUCAAAUAAUAAGUUAAGAAAAAAAAUGUGCAUUUAUUUAGCAUUCUGCUCCAUAAUUUACCCACAAUUGAUUUGAUGUAAAAAUGAUGCUUCAGAUUGUUUACCACUUACGCUAAUUUACGUUCCUGAAAUUAACAUUCAGGAAAGACCGCGACAGGAGACUUUGUCUCCUGGCCACCCCAGCAAGGGUCCCCUUUCUGAAGAGAACAGAACUGUGCAAAGCGCUUGGCACAUCAAGUAGCUGUUCCACAAAUGCGAGUUCUUGUCCUCCGUGGGAACGGCACAGCUCCGGGGAGAGGAGUUGGAGGGAACCCUGAGCUCUCGGCAAGGUCAGGAGGCUGAGGAGUGCUGGGUGUCCCAGGCAGGGCCUUGAAAACAUCACCCCAUGCAAUCCAAGGUCACACGGGGUCUGCACCCGCCCUCCGGCAUAAUGCAGCAGCUGUCAGGACCUGCUCUGCUGUCCUCCCUGGAUUCACCUUCCUGGGCAGCUCCACAGAGUCACCGCCAGCUCUGUGUCGCAGCACACUGAGUUGCCUGAUUCUCCUUCUCCACCUUUUAGAGCCCAGUUUUGCUGUUGUUUUGGUACCGGAGAUCGAUCUUGGGUCCUUGUGCUUGAGCAGCAGGUGGUGAAACCACUGAGCUAAAUCCCCAGCCUAGAGCCCAGUUUAAACACUCUCUUCCAAGUAAAGCCUCUAAGAGUCUGGGGGCAGAGUCACACAUGUCACAUGGGAUAGUGAUCACUGUCUCUACCCUCCAGAUUCCUGGAGGACAAGGACACUUGAGUGACAACCUCACGUGAAUGGGGUUCAGCAUACAGGACCAUCCUUUUCUAUGGGUAAAUGACUGCCUCAGACAUUGUAGGUCACCUUAAGUCCUGGCCUCACAGGCUAAAUAUCAGUUAUGACAACCCAAACGCUCCUCAUGCCCACAAAUCCCACUCUGAGUGGGACCUCUGGGCGUGUAACACCCCUUGUCCUAACCAUGCUGGCGACCUGGCAGAUCAGACUUCAGCCCCAGGUCGGGCUGUGGUCUGGGUGUGGAAUCCAGUAGUUCCAACAGAACAGAACAGUGUCUUGUUUCGGUGCUGGGGUUGAACCCAGCCUCGUGGACCCAGAGGAGCUGUGCCCGAGCACCAGAAUCCCUCCUCGGAGGUGCCAGCGUGAGCCUGGGAGCCCAUCUUGGCAGCCCUGCAUGAGGCCCGUGGCCAGGGCGGUGGGUGGUGUGGAUCAGUGGGCUACGGGGCUCCCCAGAUUGGCAGGGGUCACAGCUGGGAUCCCUCUUUUAAGAGCUCCACCUCCAAGGCCCAGGGAGGCUGGGGGUGAAGCCCUGACUGCAGCGGGGUUCUCCAAGAUAGCUGAAAGGUGGAAGCAACUCAAAUGUCCAACCACAGAUAAGUGGAUAAACAAGACGUGGUGCACACAUACAUUGAAAUACAUUCUUCCUUUAAUGACCUAUCUGUUUAACAAAUGUUUGACUUACAGGUAAGGUACUCUGUUUGGACUUUCGACCCUCUUUUAUUGGUACACUUUGAUGCAUCAUGUUCAUAGAGUGAUAAUGUCUUUUUUGUACAGUACACCUUGUUUAUAUAAUACUGUAAUUUUUGCUGAUAGUGCUUUACAUGCUGUAGUUAUAUGUUCUGUUAUACAUUACAGCACUGCAUGUAAGAGUUAUGCAAAUAAAAGCAAAGUCAUCAAGUUGACUUUAUUCUAUUUUAAUGUACAUACUAUAUACCUUUCCUCAUUUAGUGACCAAUUCAUUUAACAACCCAGUCGAAGGACCUUAA